GUUUGAUCAUGGCUCAGAUUGAACGCUGGCGGAAUGCUUUACACAUGCAAGUCGAGCGGCAGCGCGGGGCAACCUGGCGGCGAGCGGCGAACGGGUGAGUAAUACAUCGGAACGUGCCCAGACGUGGGGGAUAACUACUCGAAAGAGUGGCUAAUACCGCAUACGAUCUAAGGAUGAAAGCGGGGGAUCGCAAGACCUCGCGCGUUUGGAGCGGCCGAUGGCAGAUUAGGUAGUUGGUGGGGUAAAGGCUUACCAAGCCCGCGAUCUGUAGCUGGUCUGAGAGGAUGAUCAGCCACACUGGGACUGAGACACGGCCCAGACUCCUACGGGAGGCAGCAGUGGGGAAUUUUGGACAAUGGGCGAAAGCCUGAUCCAGCCAUUCCGCGUGCAGGAUGAAGGCCCUCGGGUUGUAAACUGCUUUUGUACAGAACGAAAAAGCUCUUUCUAAUACAGAGAGUCCAUGACGGUACUGUAAGAAUAAGCACCGGCUAACUACGUG
rnacentral:rRNA from 1 species